rnacentral:misc_RNA from 1 species
UGCUGGAUCAUUACCCACUGAUCCCAUUCACCACCUACCUGUCGUCCCUAGUGCCGAUGACGGACUUGCCACUCCCUAAUGCCGCUUGAGAGUGCUGGAGUGAAGUGUCUGGGCCAACCACAGCAGUGCCUUGCCAUUUGGUGCUGUAGGUGAGCCUUAAUCGGAGGCAUGACGGGAUGACAAACCGCCCCAGGGGCAACGCUAUGGGGUGCUAUCCGCCGGUGUCAGUGGCGACACACAUCCUUCCACGCAUAUUACAAUAUGCACAGUGCCGCAUGUGUAGGCCGGAAGCGAUGGAACCAGGCAACCCGACCGAGAGCAUAGGUCGGGAAGCCGCGCUGAACAUCACUGGAUAGCACGCCCUUGGGGCACCCAACGGCUGUGCUUGGCGUCUGUGCGUGGUUGAGCAGUUGUUGUGCACAGUUUUUUUUGCUGGAGAGUUGAGUGAGCUGGCUUGGAAACUGCUGAUUGUGAUAGCAUCCUUGCCUUACAGACCGUAACUCGUGGCUUGCUCUCUCUCCGGUGCGACCUGUGUGCUACGUCCGUGGCUGCGAUGAGACCACGCGGUAGGGCCCGUGCGAACGCUAUAGCACGUGGCUUAAGACUUGAUGAGCUCACCGCUAAGAGCCGCCAGCAACCUUUUUCAAUUACAAUUUUUUGAAGCACAUGUAUGUGCGUGAACAAACAAUUCUAGUCUUAUCGGUGGAUCACUCGGCUCGUAGGUCGAUGAAGAACGCAGCCAACUGCGAUAAGUAGUGUGAACUGCAGAAACCUUGAACACAGAACAUUCGAAUGCACAUUGCGCCAUUGGAGUGACAUCCUUUGGCACGCCUGGUUCAGGGUCGUAAUCAAAAAGCGCACAGCAAUUGCGUGUACAAGUUGUGAGAUCAGUGAGCGACACACAUGCCACUGUUCUCGCAUAGUGUAAAAGGCGCCAAAGACUGAGGGGGAGUGCCGGCAUGGAACGAGACUUUGAUAUUUUCCAUGUCUUGCAGACCGCAACUCGGGCACAAACCUGACUCUCUUAAGGUAGCCAAAUGCCUCGUCGACCAAUUGGUGAAUUGUUGUCGUCGUUGGCUAAUUAUGACCAAACACACAUUUUCGACCUGAACUCAGACGUGAACACCCGCUGAACUUAAGCAUAUCAGUAAGCGGAGGAAAAGAAACUAACGAGGAUUCCCGUAGUAACGGCGAGUGGACUGGGACGAGUCCAGCGCUGAAUCGCGGCGCCUCUGGUGCCGCGAGGUGUAGCGUACAGACUGUGAGCAUGGGUUGGCCUGCCCGUU